rnacentral:rRNA from 1 species
GACGAACGCUGGCGGCGCGCUUAAUACAUGCAAGUCGAACGGAGCGGCGGACGCGUGAGUAAUGCCUAGGAAUCCGCCUGGUAGUGGGGGAUAACGUUCGGCAACGGGCGCUAAUAUUGCUUACUAUCAGAUGAGCCUAGGUCGGGUUAGCUAGUGGGUGGGGUAAAGGGCUACAAAGGCGACGAUCCGUAAAUGGUGUGAGAGGAUGAUCAGUCACAGUGGAACUGAGACACAGUCCAGACUCCUACGGGAGGCAACAGUGGGGAAUAUUGGACAAUGGGCGAAAGCCUGAUCCAGCCAUGCCACGUGUGGUAAGAAGGUCUUCGAAUUGUAAAGCACUUUAAGUUGGGGGGCGUUACCAACAGAAUAAGCACCGGCUAACUGCGUGCCAGCAGCCGCGGUAAUAC